rnacentral:lncRNA from 1 species
UUCUUCCCUCCUCCGAACACACCUCACCGGAAAAACAAACGGGCCACGUACCUCCCUCUCACCCCACGACACACCUGCAAUUUCCGAUCUGCUAUACAUCGCCGGAGAAGAAACCGAACUCGCCGGGAACUUGCUCCUACGCCGGAACCACCACCAGCCACCGCCGGGCCGCAACUGCCGGCACAUGGAUCAUGGUAAUUCUCUUGUGCACAUCCUCUUUGGAAAAUCCCUGAUCCUUUAUCUUUCCAAGAAAUACGCAACGCAACCUAAGGUUGAUUGAUCAAGAUACAAGAA